UACGUAGGUGGCAAGCGUUGUCCGGAUUUACUGGGCGUAAAGAGCGCGCAGGCGGUCGUUCAAGUCGAGUGUGAAAGCCCCCGGCUCAACUGGGGAGGGUCACUCGAUACUGAUCGACUCGAAGGCAGAAGAGGGAAGCGGAAUUCCCGGUGUAGUGGUGAAAUGCGUAGAUAUCAGGAAGAACACCCGUGGCGAAGGCGGCUCUCUGGGACGGUACUGACGCUGAGACGCGAAAGCGUGGGGAGCAAACAGG
rnacentral:rRNA from 1 species